rnacentral:rRNA from 1 species
GGUUAAGCGACUAAGCGUACACGGUGGAUGCCCUGGCAGUCAGAGGCGAUGAAGGACGUGCUAAUCUGCGAUAAGCGUCGGUGAGGUGAUAUGAACCGUUAUAACCGGCGAUUUCCGAAUGGGGAAACCCAGUGUGUUUCGACACACUAUCAUUAACUGAAUCCAUAGGUUAAUGAGGCGAACCGGGGGAACUGAAACAUCUAAGUACCCCGAGGAAAAGAAAUCAACCGAGAUUCCCCCAGUAGCGGCGAGCGAACGGGGAGGAGCCCAGAGCCUGAAUCAGUGUGUGUGUUAGUGGAAGCGUCUGGAAAGGCGCGCGAUACAGGGUGACAGCCCCGUACACAAAAAUGCACAUAUUGUGAGCUCGAUGAGUAGGGCGGGACACGUGGUAUCCUGUCUGAAUAUGGGGGGACCAUCCUCCAAGGCUAAAUACUCCUGACUGACCGAUAGUGAACCAGUACCGUGAGGGAAAGGCGAAAAGAACCCCGGCGAGGGGAGUGAAAAAGAACCUGAAACCGUGUACGUACAAGCAGUGGGAGCCUCUUAAUGGGGUGACUGCGUACCUUUUGUAUAAUGGGUCAGCGACUUAUAUUCUGUAGCAAGGUUAACCGAAUAGGGGAGCCGAAGGGAAACCGAGUCUUAACUGGGCGUUAAGUUGCAGGGUAUAGACCCGAAACCCGGUGAUCUAGCCAUGGGCAGGUUGAAGGUUGGGUAACACUAACUGGAGGACCGAACCGACUAAUGUUGAAAAAUUAGCGGAUGACUUGUGGCUGGGGGUGAAAGGCCAAUCAAACCGGGAGAUAGCUGGUUCUCCCCGAAAGCUAUUUAGGUAGCGCCUCGUGAAUUCAUCUCCGGGGGUAGAGCACUGUUUCGGCAAGGGGGUCAUCCCGACUUACCAACCCGAUGCAAACUGCGAAUACCGGAGAAUGUUAUCACGGGAGACACACGGCGGGUGCUAACGUCCGUCGUGAAGAGGGAAACAACCCAGACCGCCAGCUAAGGUCCCAAAGUCAUGGUUAAGUGGGAAACGAUGUGGGAAGGCCCAGACAGCCAGGAUGUUGGCUUAGAAGCAGCCAUCAUUUAAAGAAAGCGUAAUAGCUCACUGGUCGAGUCGGCCUGCGCGGAAGAUGUAA